rnacentral:rRNA from 1 species
CAGCAGCCGCGGUAAUACGUAGGGGGCAAGCGUUGUCCGGAAUCAUUGGGCGUAAAGCGCGUGUAGGCGGCUUGAUAAGUCUGCUGUGAAAGUCCAGGGCUCAACCCUGGAAUGCCGGUGGAAACUGUCGAGCUCGAGUCCGGAAGAGGCAAGUGGAAUUCCUGGUGUAGCGGUGAAAUGCGCAGAUAUCAGGAGGAACACCAAUGGCGAAGGCAGCUUGCUGGGACGGUACUGACGCUGAGACGCGAAAGCGUGGGGAGCAAACAGGAUUAGAUACCCCAGUAGUCCCUGUCUCUUAUAC